UCCCGCUUGGGCAGGGGAGGCAUCGACAUAUAAAAUGGUUGUAAAUUUGCAUUAGGCUCAAUCCAUCAUAGGUGAGAGGGAGAGAGAGUGGGGACAGCGAGCGAGGAGCUGUGUUGUACGCCGUGGAGCAGGCAGCCUCUGACAGAUUCCUCUUUAAGUGACUGUGAAUGCAACAAUUCCACAAAUAAUUUGUCAAGCACUGCUGCUGAACUAGCUCUGAACCCUCUUCCCCUCUCUCUCCCUCUGUCUCUCUCUCAAGGCCACAUAUAUGGAGUUGCAAUCCUUUUAUGGGACAACUCCUAAUAAAGGAAACAAAAAUAAUUACAGUUUGUGGGGAAAGCAGCCAAUGAGACACAAUAGCCAUUUGGCCAGAUGGGAUAGUAGCCCACCAUUGCAAUAUGUUACCUUUUCCUUUGAUCUCCCUGUUUAAUUUCAUUAUUUUGGAUGUUUCAAUGUCAUUUCAAUCAGCUCUGUUCAACACAUUCAGAAGCUAAGCGCUAAAAGCUACAUAUUCUUACAGAAUGCUAAUAACGUUAAAAUUGCAUCACAAACGACUCUACCUACAAUUAAGUUGAAUAUCUGACCCAGAAAGGCAUAAAGAACAGGAUCUGCUUCAGACAAACGGAUUCAAUGGGACUUCUUAAAAGCAGGUGGUCAGUACGUGUGGGUCCUUCUAAUGGGAAAGAGGAGGUCAAAGUUGUGACUGAGAAGGAUGAAGACAAAUGAUACUGAGAGAAAAUGUAUAGAAGUGGUAUAAUUGACAUCUAACGUGUGUGCUGACCCUCUGACUCCUGGGGUUACUGCAGGCCACCAAAUUAAAGUCCGGCAUUAGUUUAUCCAGUGGGGAGAUUCAGAUUGAGCCAGCAGUUUGAGAGAACUGAAAAUCAAUUUUAAGAACAGUUGAAGUUGCAAUUUAUCAUUUGCAUUAAGGAUUGUAAAGCCUUGAUGUUUUUUUAUGAUGAAGGUGCUAUGUUCUUUACAUCGUUCUGAAUUAGAGUUAGCAUUGUAAUAACAGUUCGAACACUGAAAGUUGAAGUGAAAAUUCAAAGUCAUCGCUGUCUAAAGCUGCCCACUAAUUUCUCAAUUCAAGUCAAUGCUCCACCCUUUAACAUCACCAAUACACACUUGAGUAGUGCUCAUUUGGUUUUCUUGGAAUAAUUCAUGAUAUACUCAUGAAAAAUAGAUCUAAAAUAGUCUGAAGUCGGUAAGAUGUUUUAAUGUUUUUGAGAGGUGUCUCUUAUGCUCACCAAAGCUGCAUUUAUUUGAUAAUAAAUACAAUAAAAAGAGUAAUAUUGGGAUUUUGCCAUUUAAAACAAUGGUUUACAUUUUAAUGUGUAAUUUAUGCAUGUGACGGCAGAACUGAAUUUUCAGGAUCCAUUACUUCAGUCUUAAGCA
ensembl:lncRNA